rnacentral:rRNA from 1 species
UCCCAGACUCCUACGGGAGGCAGCAGUGGGGAAUAUUGCACAAUGGGGGAAACCCUGAUGCAGCAACGCCGCGUGAGUGAAGAAGUCAUUCGUGAUGUAAAGCUCUAUCAGCAGGGAAGAAAAUGACGGUACCUGAGUAAGAAGCCCCGGCUAACUACGUGCCAGCAGCCGCGGUAAUACGUAGGGGGCGAGCGUUAUCCGGAUUCACUGGGUGUAAAGGGAGCGUAGACGGCCAAGCAAGCCAGGGGUGAAAGCCCGGGGCCCAACCCCGGGACUGCCCUUGGAACUGCAUGGCUGGAGUGCGGGAGGGGCAGGCGGAAUUCCUGGUGUAGCGGUGAAAUGCGUAGAUAUCAGGAGGAACACCGGCGGCGAAGGCGGCCUGCUGGACCGCGACUGACGUUGAGGCUCGAAAGCGUGGGGAGCGAACAGGAUUAGAUACCCUCGUAC